rnacentral:tRNA from 1 species
GGUUGUGGCUCAGUGGUAGAGUGCUUGCCUAGCAUAUGUAAGGCACUGGGUUUGAUUCUCAGCACCG